UGGCGCACGGGUGAGUAACGCGUGGGUAAUCUACCUUUGGAUUUGGGAUAACUUCGCGAAAGCGUAGCUAAUACCGGAUAGUCUGGCUUUAAUUAAUAAGUUGGUAAAGGGUGCCUCUAUUUAUACGCAUUCGUCCAAAGAUGAGCCCGCGUCUCAUUAGCUAGUUGGUGGGGUAAAGGCCUACCAAGGCAACGAUGAGUAACUGGUCUGAGAGGAUGAUCAGUCACACUGGAACUGAAACACGGUCCAGACUCCUACGGGAGGCAGCAGUGGGGAAUAUUGCGCAAUGGGCGAAAGCCUGACGCAGCAACGCCGUGUGAGGGAUGAAGGUUCUCGGAUCGUAAACCUCUGUCAGAAGGGAAGAACGGUUAUAGGUCUAACAGGCCUGUAAAUUGACGGUACCUUCAAAGGAAGCACCGGCUAACUCCGUGCCAGCAGCCGCGGUAAUACGGAGGGUGCAAGCGUUAUUCGGAAUUACUGGGCGUAAA
rnacentral:rRNA from 1 species